rnacentral:rRNA from 1 species
UACAGAGGGUGCGAGCGUUGUUCGGAAUUAUUGGGCGUAAAGGGCGCGUAGGCGGUGCCACAAGUCACCUGUGAAAUCCCCGGGCUUAACUCGGGGCCUGCAGGCGAAACUGUGGUGCUGGAGUAUGGGAGAGGUGCGUGGAAUUCCGGUGUAGCGGUGAAAUGCGUAGAUAUCGGGAGGAACACCUGUGGCGAAAGCGGCGCACUGGACCAUAACUGACGCUGAGGCGCGAAAGCUAGGGGAGCAAACAGG